GCAGCCGUGGCCUAGUCGUAAGGCGUCCGUCUCCUAGUCUCCUCCUCCUUGAACCAGUGAACGGAAGAUCCCGGGUUCAAAUCCCGGCGGUUGUG